rnacentral:rRNA from 1 species
UACGGAGGGAGCUAGCGUUGUUCGGAAUUACUGGGCGUAAAGCGCACGUAGGCGGCUUUGUAAGUUAGAGGUGAAAGCCUGGGGCUCAACCCCAGAAUUGCCUUUAAGACUGCAUCGCUUGAAUCCAGGAGAGGUGAGUGGAAUUCCGAGUGUAGAGGUGAAAUUCGUAGAUAUUCGGAAGAACACCAGUGGCGAAGGCGGCUCACUGGACGAUUGUUGACGCUGAGGUGCGAAAGCGUGGGGAGCAAACAGG